GAGCUGGCUUUGGCAGCACAUAUACUAAAAUUGCAACAAAACAGAGAUUACUAUGGCUCCUGUGCAAGGAUGAAAUUCGAGAAGUGUUCCAUAUUUUU
rnacentral:snRNA from 1 species